rnacentral:snRNA from 1 species
AACUCUGCACAGUGGCAGUAUCGUAGCCAAUGAGGUUCAUCUGAGAAGCGUUUACUGCUAAUUGAAAAAAUCCGGCCACCCUUUCUUUAAUCCCUUAUGUUCAAUAGCAGGAGUAACAACAUAAACUUACAAUUU